GAUGAAGGCCCUCGGNUCGUAAACUGCUUUUAUGAGUGAAGAAUAUGACGGUAACUCAUGAAUAAGGGUCGGCUAACUACGUGCCAGCAGCCGCGGUCAUACGUAGGACCCAAGCGUUAUCCGGAGUGACUGGGCGUAAAGAGUUGCGUAGGUGGUUAGUAAAGUGAAUAGUGAAAUCUGGCGGCUCAACCGUACAGGCUAUUAUUCAAACUCACUAACUCGAGAAUGGUAGAGGUAACUGGAAUUUCUAGUGUAGGAGUGAAAUCCGUAGAUAUUAGAAGGAACACCAAUGGCGUAGGCAGGUUACUGGACCAUUUCUGACACUGAGGCACGAAAGCGUGGGGAGCGAACAGGAUUAGAUACCCUGGUAGUCC
rnacentral:rRNA from 1 species